rnacentral:lncRNA from 1 species
CAAGGAAGAGGGAAGAGGGUGGGAGCAGAAUUAUGAAGAUGAAGGAGGCACGGGGCGAGCUGUGGGUGUGGGCGUGGGUAUGGCUAGUUUCCUGCACCAAAUCUGUGCAGAGAGGCCAGAAGUUGGCUGUGAUUCAGAAAGGCAGAUGGAUAUCAUUCUGAGCUGCUGCUCAAAACUCUAAACCCCAGAGCCACUGUUGGUUGAUCCACUGUGUUCAGAUGGCCGGGAAGUAGGCGGGUCUAAUCAGGAGGAAUUAAACUACCCCCUCCCUGU